rnacentral:lncRNA from 1 species
AAUCAAUACAAUGUGCGAAGUUCCAACCAGAAACACAUUUCAAUCAAGAUUGCAUAAUGGAAGGUAUCAAACAACAUAAACACAUCCUAUAUUAUUACAUUCAUUCAUAUUUAUACAUUUUACACCUCAACUACCAUUCCUGUUUCAUCCAAAUGCAAUCUAAAUUAUUACAACAUUUAUAUCUUUAAUACAUCAUGUUACAUUGUGUUCUUUUCAUUUCUUUAACCCCUAAGCUAUGUCGACGGGGUACUGCUAGCUCUGGUCUCUGGGGUAGGGCGCUAUCUACGGAGCUACGCCCUUUCCUCACGCUGCCGCGCCGCUCACGUGCGAACCUGUAAACACCCCAAAACCACGUGGGGUGAGAACCAACUCCAUGGUUCCCAGUGGGUACGGCCACCCAAGGGAAGAGCUCGACCAAUAGGUCCAAGGGAGGCAACUGCAAGUUAGUUCAAUAAACAGAUAGAUAUAUA